CACGGAGGGUGCAAGCGUUGUUCGGAUUUACUGGGCGUAAAGCGCGUGUAGGCGGUAUGUUAGGUCAGAUGUGAAAUCCCCAGGCUCAACCUGGGACGGGCAUUUGAAACCGGCAAACUUGAGUACGGGAGAGGGAAGCGGAAUUCCUAGUGUAGAGGUGAAAUUCGUAGAUAUUAGGGGGAACACCAGUGGCGAAGGCGGCUUCCUGGACCGAUACUGACGCUGAGACGCGAAAGCGUGGGUAGCAAACAGG
rnacentral:rRNA from 1 species